GCUUAUCACCAUUCCAGAUUGAAUAUACCCGAUCUCGUCUGAUCUCGGAAGUCAAGCAAUCUCGGGCUUGGUUAGUACUUGGAUGGGUGACCGCUUGGG
rfam:Ciona savignyi cont_35707, whole genome shotgun sequence.